rnacentral:rRNA from 1 species
CCUACGGGUGGCAGCAGUGGGGAAUAUUGCGCAAUGGGCGAAAGCCUGACGCAGCGACGCCGCGUGAGGGAUGAAGGUCUUCGGAUCGUAAACCUCUGUCAGCAGGGAAGAACGGUCACUGUGCUAAUCAGCAGUGCAUUGACGGUACAUGCAAAGGAAGCACCGGCUAACUCCGUGCCAGCAGCCGCGGUAAUACGGAGGGUGCGAGCGUUAAUCGGAAUUAUUGGGCGUAAAGCGCUCGUAGGUGGUAUGUCAAGUCAAGGGUGAAAUCCUCGGGCUAAACGUGGGAACUGCCGUUGAAACUGGCAAACUGGAGUGUGGGAGAGGAUAGUGGAAUGCCAGGUGUAGGGGUGAAAUGCGUAGAUAUCUGGAGGAACAUCAGUGGCGAAGGCGACUAUCUGGCACAUAACUGACGCUGAGGAGCGAAAGCGUGGGUAGCAAACAGGAUUAGAUACCCGAGUAGUC